rnacentral:sRNA from 1 species
CGAUCUGUUGAGGACAGAUAAAGUGGAUGUGCACGUCUAACCCACCAGCGGUAACUAUUUUACCCUCUGCUGCGAUGGCCUCGGUGCUGGGUCCAAUUAUGAUAUCUACUCCGGGCUGGAUAUCAGGAUUCCCUGCCUUGCCGAUCGCUGCAAUCCGCCCGUCUUUGAGCCCGAUGUCUGCCUUAUAAAUUCCAGUAUGGUCGACAAUUAGCGCAUUGGUUACAACGGUAUCGACCGCGCCAUCAGCGCGAGUUUUCUGGGACUGACCCAUACCAUCACG